ensembl:lncRNA
CCUCAUUUAAGGGCUGGCAGUAGAGACAAUAGUAUCUUGUUGGAGGUUCCUGUGUACCUGAGCUCUUUGAAGGGGUUUUGAGGAGAGCUGACAAGCAAAUGAACAAAUGUAUGGGUAGACAAACAGCACUACUGCAGUCCAAACAAUCCAACUCAACUGGGGAUGAUGUAACAUGUGCUCAUUAAUGGCAAUGACCUGCCAUGGGGCAGCAACUCCUGUAGUUUUCUUUGGCAUAAACUCAAACUGAACUCUGGAAAGAGGAUGAAGCUCUGCUGGUCCAGGGGUGAAGGAAAUAUACCUCAGUGAAGCUGGAGGUGAUAUUGUUCUUAGCUGCAGCAGGCGUGUAGUGAUGGAGGAUCUGUGUCACAGAGUGAAACUUCUGCAGAAGGAGGCCUGGAGUGCAUAUAGCAUCAGAGACAAUAAAAAGAUCUUUGGCCUCAUGAGAAGGAUAUGAAUUACGUGAUAUCUGCUGGGGGGACACCAUAACAGGGCACAAGAAAUCCAGGAGCUUACUGGAGUAUGUUAACUUCCUGACACAGGCAACUGAAGACCUCAUGAGAAAAGAUGAGGCUGAUAUUUACAAACAGUGUAUCCACUCAUGAUUCACUCUGAGCACAGUGCUCAAACAGGAUUGUGAGGACAAGUGCUGCUCCUCCAUUCAAGAGGGACAAGAAGACUGUGGGCUGAUCAACCUCACCUCAAAUGCUGGGAAGGUGGUGGAACAAAUAAUUCUGGAAAACACUUCCAAACUUAUGAAGGGAAAGAUGGCUCUUCUUACAAGUAGUCAGCAUGGGUCUGUGAAGAUGAAAAUCAUGAGUGACCAAGCUGAUAGCCUACAUUUGAAAUGGCUAUGUUGUUUGAUAAAGGGAGAGCACGUACACUUAUCUAGUUUUGAGCAAGGCUUUCAGCUCUUUCUCCUGUAACAUUGUCAUAGUGAAAAUGAUAAAGUAGGGGCUAGGAAGAUAGAGCAAGGUAGACAGAAAACUAACUGAAUGAACUACUGCCAUCAAAAUGUUAUGAUCAGAUGCAUAAAGUCUAGUUGGAGUGCAGUCAUUAGUGGUGGGAUACCUCAGGCCCUCAUACUAGGGUCAGUACUCUAACGUCUUUGUUAAUUACCUGGAUAAAGGAGCUACAUGUACCCUCAGCAAGCCUGUGAACAAUAGGAAAGAGUGGUUGAUACACCAGAUGGUCUACUGUCAUUCGGGGGUACCUUGACAUACUAAAGAAAUGGGCUAACAUGAAUGUCAUUAAGUUCAACAGGGAAAAACAAAGUCCUGCACCUGGGGAAGAAUGUACCACAUGCACCAGUAUAUACUGGGACCUACUCAGCUGUAAAUCAACUUUACAGAAAAGAACUGCUAUACUGGAAGGACAGGAAGUUCAAUGGAAGCCAGUAAUGCACCCUUGUGGCAAAGAAGGCCAGUAGCCUCCCUGGCUGUGUUAGAGUGCUGCCGUUAUGUCAAGAAGUGAUCUUUCCCUUUUAUUCAGAGCUGGGCAGACUCAUUUGGAAUGCUGGGUCCAUUUCUGGAUUCUCCAGUGCUGAAGAGAUAUGGACAUACUGGAAUGAAUACAUAGAGAGGCCAUGAUGAUGAAGUGACUAGAGCAUCCCUCAUUUAAGAGGAGACUGAGAGAGUUGGAACUGUUCAGCCUGGAGGAAAGACUCAGAGGGAUUCUAUACGUGUGUGUGCAUAUACACGAUGGGGAUAGAGUAAAGAAAAUAGAGCCAGACUGUUUUUUCAGUGAUGUUCAGCAAAGUGACAUGAGGCAAUCAACACAAAAAUAGAAGAAAUGCCUUUUAAGCAUAAGAAAAACAUCUUUCACUGGGGUCCAAGUAGAUAAACACUAGAGCAGGCUUCCUGUAAAGGUUGUAGAGUUAUCUGAAUGUAUAUUGAAAUACAGAUGCACAGUUCUGAGCAACUCUCUCUAGUUAACCUAGAGUAUGGGGAUCAUACUAGACAAUCUUCAGAGGCCCUUUCCAACCUCAGUGAUUUUUUUUCUUUUUUUUUUUCCUUAGACAUAGUGGAAGAUUGUGAAGACACUUCAAAAUAAGACUAAUUAGCCAGUGGGGAGAGAGAUCAUAUUAUGAUCUUCUGGUACCUAGCCUAGUUCUUUAAGAGCUAUCUGAUGUACAUGUAAGUCCCUUCCAACCUAAGCCAUUCUAUGUGUAUUGCUGUGCAAGCAUAUUAACGCAUGAAAAGCAUUGGUUUUGCAUCCAGAUGGGGCUUAGAGAAAGCUUAGCAAGGUAGUUCUUGCUGUGGAAAGAUGUAGGUUUCAAGAAACCCAUUUGAAUACUGAACAAGAAAGAACCUAGGGGAUUUAGGUACCACUACAAUUUGGUGUAAAUCAAGGCUUUUGGGAAGAGUUUUUUCUUUUUUUUUUUUUUUGUCUGAAGCUUCUGAAUUUUCUAUCAAUCUGCACUUUAUGUUUCCAGGUUGCUUGUUGUUUUCCAUCUUCAGACCUAACCAUGCACAACCAAGAUAUGAGUGAAAAUGUCCAUAGCCAUCUCCAAAUGAGUAAAGGAAAAGUGAUUUUUUUUUUAACAGUCUUUCUACACAUUCCUACCUUUGAGCCACAUCAUGAACGGUUCUCUGUGCCAGCAGCUCUGCGUUCUUAAUUUGAAUAUGUAUGUAAAAUGGAUGACCCCCACCUUCCCACAGCUGUGCAACCAUUAUAACCUUAUAACUUCAAAUAAUGUUUUACAGCUGGGGUACAGGGCUGAAAUAAUACAUGUGGUUACUUCUUUCUGUAUGGUAUCUUUCAUUUACAGUAUGUGUCUGCUGUUCCUCAGUAGGGCAAAUAUUGACAUACGCUGUUUUGCUCCCCUUUAGCUCUUACACUUCCCUUUAACCAGAUGUAACAAACUCUUUUCUAAGCUAUUCUAUCUCUACUGCUAUAUAUGUUGACACCAAUAGACUUGUGAGUGAGUAGGCCUGUCAGCAGUGGAAACUUUUCUCCUCCAUUGCAAUUGGAAUAAGGACAUCUUUAUAUGGUUUUGUGUCCUACAACCCAAUAAUACAGUGCAGACCUCAGUGUCUGACUGCAAAAUACCAGUCUGUAAUUCCUCUAAUAAACUCAAACAAUGAAAAUCCUUGACUGUAAGAAAAUGGUGUGUCCUUUGUUCCUAGGAUUCUGCAGGUUAGAGAGCAAAAUUGCUAUCCUCCUUCAUUUCUUAAAGUUAGAUUUGUUCCUUAUACCUACCAGUAUGGCCAGAUUCAUUUAAACUACAGCUAGCAUGAUAAUACAUUGUUAUUUUAUAACUGAAAAUUUACUUGCCGUUUUAAAUAUUUUAUUUCUUUAAAAGAAGAAUAUGAACCCUCUGGAACAAAACGUGCUCAGGAUGGCUUUCAGCUGCUGUAUUCUUAGCUAAAUCCAAGACCUUUGGAAGUGCAGGUUAACAACCCUGUGUUCCAGGCUCAUGGUCCUACAUGCGCAGAGUUGUGACUACCACCAAAACUCCAGAGUGAAUGAAAAGGCUCCUGUCAGUGAGUUCCUUCUCAGCCAUCACUAGGUGAACACUACACACAGGACCUUUCCUGUCCUAGUCUGAAGAGUCCAGUGCCUUCACUGGAUCCAGCCUUAGGUGACCAUCUGCAUUUUCAGGCCUUUGGUUCCUGCUGUUCACAGAAAGCUGCAGAUGGCUGCCUCAGCAGGAAGCCCUUCCCCCUUCCUUAAUGGAACUCGUGGGAAUGCGGGGAUCCUGGAACCGAAGCCCUCCUUCCCUUCCAAACCUCCUCUCCAAACCCCUACUGAGUCAAAGGAAAAAAAUCCCCACAUCCCUGGAAACAUUUUUGCCAGCCUGUUUUUCAGUAAAAACUUAAAUUAACCACUUCACUCC